CCUACGGGAGGCAGCAGUAGGGAAUUUUCCACAAUGGGCGAAAGCCUGAUGGAGCAAUACCGCGUGCAGGAUGAAGGCCUUCGGGCCGUAAACUGCUUUUAUGUGCGAAGAAUUUGACGGUAACACAUGAAUAAGGAUCGGCUAACUACGUGCCAGCAGCCGCGGUCAUACGUAGGGUCCAAGCGUUAUCCGGAAUUACUGGGCGUAAAGAGUUGCGUAGGUGGCAUUAUAAGUGGAGCGUGAAAGCGUGCGGCUCAACCGCAUUAUUGCGUUCCAAACUGUGAAGCUUGAGUAUGGGAGAGGUAGAUGGAAUUUCAGUGUAGGAGUGAAAUCCGUAGAUAUUAGAAGGAACACCGAUGGCGUAGGCAGUCUACUGGCCCAUUACUGACACUAAGGCACGAAAGCGUGGGGAGCAAACGGGAUUAGAUACCCCGGGUAGUCCGACGCUGUAAACUAUGGAUGCUAGCUGUGAACACACAUCACUGUGUCGUAGUGAGUAACGUACGUA
rnacentral:rRNA from 1 species